GCCUUUACUGCUGCAAGAUAUUGGAAAUCUGUUCAAGGUUUUGACCUUUUAUGAAUCUGGAUUUUUCACUCCACAGUUAGCCGGAGGAUUUAACAUAAGGAGAAAACAUUUUCUUUUACCUAGGUUCUGCCUCAUGUGACUUCAGUCAACACUGGAAUUUUUUUAAAAGAAUCACUGCUUUAAGGGCAUGGCCAAGAUGGAGAAGUAGAAAGACCCUGAGCUCACCUCCUCCCACAGGCAUGCCAAAAUUACAACUAUUUACAGAGCAACUAUUGAUGAG